rnacentral:rRNA from 1 species
ACGGCCAGGGNUACACACGUACUACAAUGGUAGGGACAGAGGGCUGCAAGCCGGCGACGGUGAGCCAAUCCCAGAAACCCUAUCUCAGUCCGGAUUGGAGUCUGCAACUCGACUCCAUGAAGUCGGAAUCGCUAGUAAUCGCAGAUCAGCAUUGCUGCGGUGAAUACGUUCCCGGGCCUUGUACACACCGCCCGUCACACCAUGGGAGUUUGUUGCACCAGAAGCAGGUAGCUUAACCUUCGGGAGGGCGCUUGCCACGGUGUGGCCGAUGACUGGGGUGAAGUCGUAACAAGGUAGCCGUAUCGGAAGGUGCGG